CCUACGGGAGGCAGCAGUGGGGGAUAUUGCACAAUGGGGGGAACCCUGAUGCAGCGACGCCGCGUGGGUGAAGAAGCGCCUCGGCGCGUAAAGCCCUGUCAGCAGGGAAGAAAAUGACGGUACCUGCAUAAGCAGCCCCGGCUAACUACGUUCCAGCCGCCGCGGGAAUACGUAGGGGGCAAGCGUUAUCCGGAUUUCCUGGGUGUAAAGGGGGCGCAGACGGCGAUGCAAGCCAGGAGUGCAAGCCCGGGGCCCAACCCCGGGACUGCUAUUGGAACUGCGGGGCUGGAGUGCAGGAGGGGCAGGAGGAAUUCCUGGUGUAGCGGUGAAAUGCGUAGAUAUCAGGAGGAACACCGGUGGCGAAGGCGGCCGGCUGGACUGCAACUGACGUUGAGGCCCGAAAGCGUGGGGAGCAAACAGGAUUAGAUACCCUUGUAGUC
rnacentral:rRNA from 1 species